CAAUAGAGAAUAUACUCAAGAAAUUAAAAAUAGAACUACCAUAUGACCAGCAAUCCCUCUUCUGGGCACACACCCGAAGGAGAUGAAAUCA